GACGAACGCUGGCGGCGUGCCUAAUACAUGCAAGUUGAGCGCUGAAGGUUGGUACUUGUACCAACUGGAUGAGCAGCGAACGGGUGAGUAACGCGUGGGGAAUCUGCCUUUGAGCGGGGGACGACAUUUGGAAACGAAUGCUAAUACCGCAUAAAAACUUUAAACACAAGUUUUUAGUUUGAAAGAUGCAAUUGCAUCACUCAAAGAUGAUCCCGCGUUGUAUUAGCUAGUUGGUGAGGUAAAGGCUCACCAAGGCGAUGAUACAUAGCCGACCUGAGAGGGUGAUCGGCCACAUUGGGACUGAGACACGGCCCAAACUCCUACGGGAGGCAGCAGUAGGGAAUCUUCGGCAAUGGACGAAAGUCUGACCGAGCAACGCCGCGUGAGUGAAGAAGGUUUUCGGAUCGUAAAACCCUGUUGGUAGAGAAGAACGUUGGUGAGAGUGGAAAGCUCAUCAAGUGACGGUAACUACCCAGAAAGGGACGGCUAACUACGUG
rnacentral:rRNA from 1 species